rnacentral:antisense_RNA from 1 species
CAAGAUCAUGCCACCAUACUACAGACUGUGUGACAGAGCGAGACUCCGUCUCAAAACAACAACAAAAAAACAAACUCACCAUUGUACCUGUGCUUAUGCAAGGUUUAGCAGGAAUGUAAAUUGGUUUAACCUUUGUGGACAGAAGUUUUAAAAAUAUAUAUUAAAAUUAAAAGUAUGCUCUGAAGGAGGAACUCCACUCCUAGUAAUUUAUCUCAAGAGAAUAACUGGGCCAGCACAAAGGCUGCUGUUUAACAAUGUGUAAUGAUGCAGUGACAGCUGCAAUUGCAAAAAUAACCUAGACAUUCACCAAUGAGGACUGGUUAAAUGAACUAGUAUAACCAUACUGCAGAAUAUCAUAAAGAUAACAAAACUGAUAUGGAUCUGUUUCUUGGCAUAAAUAUAUCCAUAAGUUUUAAGAAGAGAUGCUAUAUAUACAGUGGUCCCAUUAAUGUAUAACUGUUAGGACUAAAAAUAGUACCUUCCUCAUAAUGAUGUUUUGAGGAAUUAAUGAGUUUAUUCAUGCAAAAUGCUUAGAAUGGUACCUGGCACACAGUCAAUGUUUAAGAAAUGUUUGUUAUUGUUAUUACUAUGUCUCUGUAUAUAUGCAUAGGAAAAAUCUGGAAGGAUAAAAUAAAAAAUGAUGAAUAUUUUUGGGUGGUGAGACUAAAUUUUUGUCUAAUCUUAUGGAUAAGUUUUAUGAUUUAUAUUUAUAAUAAAAAUAAAGCUAUAAAAAAUUAA